UAUUGCCAUAAAUAUUUUAAUUGUUUUAAAGGGUUUCUCAUUGUACUGCCAACUCUUCAGCAAAUUUCAUCAGGCAUUUGAAGGGAACGACCAUGAUGUUUAUAUGCUUAUGUCGAUCUCUUCUUAUGCGGAUGUUGCUUAACCAUUGUUGAUGGAGAUAUGGCUGAUCCAUUUUUGAUUGAUGUGGACCAAAUGAACACUGUAGAGAUGUGUAAAAUUACAUUACUUUGUAGACUGGACCAAAGCCUCCUUGUCGAGCUUGCUAACUUAGUGGAAUCUGUCAGUUGCAUUGGCUAACAUGCCAAAGUUAUUCAAGGUGAUAUCUUCAAUUUUAACUUGAUUGAUGUCAUCUUUACUCACGCCACUUUGGUAAAACUUUGGAGACGUCUCUCUUAAGAAUGAUGCACUUUUCCUCUUUAAUUCUGGUUUAGAAUGGAUAUUCAGAAGUCAAACAAUUUGCUGAAAUUGAAGUUUUGGUUUGUGUUCUCAAUAAUCUCAUUUGAUUAUUUACCCUUUUCCUUAGCCAACAAUUUUCAGGAAAAAUAUCAACAGAAGAUAACUAUUAUUGAGCCUAUCGAAUCAUUUAUUGCAAUAGCUGCUACAUGGAAGUCUUUCUUGUUAUUUGCAGCAGCAAAACAUGUACAAGCAAUAGACAGUUCUCGAGCAUAUAUUCUUUUCCAUGAAAGCGAAAGCACGACAUGAAAUUUUGAGACUACUUUAAUGGUAUUAUAGAUUUUAUUAAGAGUUUCUUGGUUAUAUUCUUCAAAGCCACGAAGCCUUCAAUCUGAGGUCAAGCCUUUUUUAAUUGACGAAGACUCCCUGGAAUUAAUGGUCUCUCAAGAGGUCACACAAGAUUGGCUAGAUAUAUGGUUAGGUCAUUGAGGACAUAUUAACAGGCUUCAAAAUGCAAUGUCAUGGAUGGAGAUCCAUAUAUUGUAUGCUUGUGUGAUGAGUGCUGCUGCUGCAGCUGCAAUGUUUCCUUAGGAGUUUUGAAAAAUGCCAGCAAUUGCAUUUGAAUUGUAGCCAGAAUUAAACUCGGUCUAUUGUAGUGAACGAUGAAGAGUUUUUGUACUAUUGUCAUAUAUGUUCGGAUGCAUUUGGUUUUGUCGAAUUUAUUGAUAGUAGAGAUCUUUAAGCAAUCACUUUCUUAAGUAUUGGUUGUACACGACAUAUUUCUCAAAGUUUAUUUAAAAUACAUAAC